rnacentral:rRNA from 1 species
GGAUUAGAUACCCUAGUAUAUUUAAACAAAUUAAGGUAGUAAUAUAUUUAUAUAUAUAAACCUAUUUAUAUUGGCGGCAAUUCAUCUUAUUAAAGGAACUCGUUUAAUAAUCGACAAUUCUCGUUUAAUUUCACUUAAUUUAAAAAUUUAUAUAUCGCCAUUUAUAGAAUUAUUUCUAAAGAAUCAUUCAAAAUAAUUCAAUUAAAAAAAUUAGGUCAAGGUGUAAUUUACAUUUAAGUAUAAAUAAGUUACAUUAAUAAAUAUUUAAGGAUUAUUAUAUAACAAUAAUAUAUUAAAGAGAAUUUAAAUGUAAUAUUUUAAUAAAAAUCAAAUAUGAAUUAG